rnacentral:lncRNA from 1 species
UCACCACCGAACAGCCGCCUCCUCCCUCUCCUCACCACCUCCCGCCUCCCGCCGCCCUCCUCCCUCUCCUCACCGCCGAACAGCACCCAGAUCGGUGGUGGGUGUUGUGGUGGUGAAGCGGUGGUGGGUGUUGUGGAGGUGCAACGGUGGUGGUGACGGUGUAGUGGUGGUAGUGGUGGUGACGGUGGAGUUGCAGUGGUGUUGAUGGUGGAGGGAUGGGGAUGGAGAUGGUUUAGAUGAGGAAUUGAGGAUGGAGAAAGUUCAGAGGAAUUGAGGAUGAACAUGUAAUGGUUUUUUUAAUUAAAAGGGGUAAAAAUGUCAUUUUACACAGUCAUUCAGAUGCGCAACCAAACAGCACUUUACUGGUUCAGCACUUACUGGUUCAGAGCCUCUUACCCAUUCAGACCUCUUAUUCAUUCAGCACUUAUU